rnacentral:rRNA from 1 species
CGUCGUGUCAGUGGUGAAGCUGCCGGGUGACUGUGUGGUGGAGUUGAUGCGAGUGAGAAUGCAGGCAUGAGUAGCGUGUGACGGGUGGGAAUCCCGUCCGCCGAUUAUCCAAGGGUUCCAGGGUCAAGUUUGUCUGCCCUGGGUGAGUCGGGUCCUAAGGCGAGGCCGACAGGCGUAGUCGAUGGGUAACCAGUUGAUAUUCUGGUACCGGCUUGUCACCGUCCGUGUCGAGGUGUGUGAUGCUAAGCAUGUGAGCUUGUCUUGGGAGUGUUUUUGAUGCUUCUGGGGUGGGUGAGUGUGUGAACCGAUCAUGUAGUAGGCAAGCUGCGGAGGGACGCAGUGAGGUAGCUCAUCCCCGGUGAUGGUUGUCCGGGGCUAAGUGUGUGGACUGUCUGGUAGGUAAAUCCGCUGGGCGUGAAGGUUGAGGCAUGAUGGGGAGCCCAUGGUUGUGGGUGAGUGAGUGAUCCUGUACUGUCGAGAAAAGCUUCGUGAGCGAGGUGGCGGGUCCGCCCGUACCCUAAACCGACACUGGUGGAUAGGUAGAGUAUACCGAGGCGAUCGAGUGAAUCGUGGUUAAGGAACUCGGCAAAAUGCCCCCGUAACUUUGGGAUAAGGGGGACCUGAGCUGUCGUGCACCCGUGCGGUGUGGUGGCGGUGAGGGGCGCAGAGACCAGGGGGAAACGACUGUUUAUCAAAAACACAGGUCCGUGCGAAGUCGUAAGACGAUGUAUACGGACUGACUCCUGCCCGGUGCUGGAAGGUUAAGAGGAGCGGUGAGGCACUGUUGGGUGUUGAAGCUGUGAAUUUAAGCCCCAGUAAACGGCGGUGGUAACUAUAACCAUCCUAAGGUAGCGAAAUUCCUUGUCGGGUAAGUUCCGACCUGCACGAAUGGAGUAACGACUUCCCCACUGUCUCAACCACAGGCCCGGUGAAAUUGCAGUACGAGUAAAGAUGCUCGUUACGCGCAGCAGGACGGAAAGACCCCGGGACCUUUACUAUAGUUUGGUAUUGGUGAUUGGGACGGUUUGUGUAGGAUAGGUGGGAGACUGUGAAGCGUUCACGCUAGUGGGUGUGGAGUCGUUGUUGAAAUACCACUCUGGUCGAAUUGGGUGUCUUAACCUCGGGCCAUGAUCUGGUUCAGGGACAGUGCCUGGUGGGUAGUUUAACUGGGGCGGUUGCCUCCCAAAGAGUAACGGAGGCGCCCAAAGGUUCCCUCAGCCUGGUUGGCAAUCAGGUGUUGAGUGUAAGUGCACAAGGGAGCUUGACUGUGAGACUGACGGGUCGAGCAGGGACGAAAGUCGGGACUAGUGAUCCGGCGGCACCUCGUGGAAGGGCCGUCGCUCAACGGAUAAAAGGUACCUCGGGGAUAACAGGCUGAUCUUGCCCAAGAGUCCAUAUCGACGGCAUGGUUUGGCACCUCGAUGUCGGCUCGUCGCAUCCUGGGGCUGGAGUCGGUCCCAAGGGUUGGGCUGUUCGCCCAUUAAAGCGGCACGCGAGCUGGGUUCAGAACGUCGUGAGACAGUUCGGUCCUCUAUCCUCUGUGGGCGUAGGAAAAUUGAGAGGUUCAAACCCUAGUACGAGAGGACCGGGUUUGACGCACCUCUGGUGCUCCGGUUGUUCUGUCAAGGGCAUGGCCGGGUAGCUAAGUGCGGAACCGAUAAGCGCUGAAAGCAUCUAAGCGCCAAGCUAUUCCCAAGAUUAAUUUUCCCUGAAGGAUCGUGGAAGACC